GAGCCGAAGUCGGAUGCUCAACGAACUGAGCCACCCAGGCACCCUUAUUCACUCUUUGAUGAUAGUUUUUGUGGACUCAACCUUCAUGAUCCCGAUAGAUUCAGAUCAAAUAAUAGGAACUCAUUUAGAGAUGUCUUACAGAAGAUUAAUGAGAACAACAUUCAAGCACAAAGAUAUUGUUACUACAUUAUGGUCAACAAUGGAAAAAACACCAUUUUCCUACAAAGUGAUACAGAUGCCUGUUAGCAAACCCUACGCACACUGGAGUAAACUAAGCGAGUUGAUUGGUACCCAAACUUGCCAACUGCUGAAGCAGCUCAACCUCAAAAUAUUAAGCCAUACCACAGACGUGUGAAUACAUGAAUUGGUUCCACUUUGAAAAUUUCAUUUGCUACUGUGCAAUACUAAUGCAUCUUGUAAGAGGUUUAAGGAUUUCUUCAGAAUCACUUCCUUUUCACCAGUGUUACCACACUACUAUAUUUAACAGAGACAUUUACAUGCUUUGCAUUUUAAGUGCCUCGGAAAUCCGAGCACAGAGCCCGCACAUUUCCACCGCACCAUCAGAUGUAAUGAGUUAUGGUGCUAUCGGCAUGUUGAUAAGCUAUAGCCCAAAGAAGAACAAGAAGGAAGUAUAAAAAAUAUGGCCAGAGGAUGGGAUAAAAUUAUCAGCUAGUGUGUUUUCCUGUUUGGUUUUAAUCUACAUUUAAUUAAAUUCUUAUCUUCUGUGUACUUAUGGUCGCAUUUGAAUGGCGAGACUGCAUUCAUUAUGAAUGGUAAAACUUAACUCAGAGAACAUUACAUGUGGCUUCUUUAAAAAAGAGAAGAAGAAAAACGCUGUCUUUAUUCUUUACACUCAGGUCUUAUAAAAGGGGACCAAACUCUCUCUUAGGUCAAGUGCAGUAGCACUUAACCUUUGGGUUAACUGAUUUGGAAAGUGGGACUUAAAUCAAUUUUAAUGCUAUUUUUUUUUUAUUUUUACAAUUUGGGAAUGUUAUUAUCAAAUUCCGAGCCUGAACAGAGCUGGCAAGGGGAGCAGUGAAGUGCAUUAAGGAAAUGCCUUCUUCAUUCUUAAAAACAGAGAUGAUAACAGGAAGUUUUUAUUAGUACUGCAAAAUGUGAUCAUUAGUCUGCAUCCUUAAUUAUUAAAACCAUUACAUUCCCUUGUCUUUAUAUGCUGAAAUAAGAAAAAAAUGCCUUAAUUGCUAUUUAAAUUUUUUUCCUGUGUCACAGACCCUUUGAGUUCAUUCAAGCAUCCAUAUAUUUCAAAGAAAAAUAACAUGUUUUCAACAUAGCAUUAUUUCACACACCUACUAGCUUCAAAACAUUUUUAGUUCUAUUCCAGGAAUGGCAGGGCAAAUUGACAAUGUCCUGAAGGCAAUAUUUGGUCCCUGCAAUAACAAGCAUGGUUUCCUUGGGUCAACCUAAAGAUUGUGUCAGACUUAACAAAGGGAAAUAGGGGCAACUGUGUCUGAUUUAGAUGUGAUUGUUGCUGAAGAACUGAGGCUCAAGAUCGUACUUGCUAUCCCCACUGGAUCAAAAUUCACCGAAACCAAGAACCAAGAACAACGAGAAGAAAAUGCUCCACAGUUAUAGAAUGGCUAAAUCACGGGGAUAAAAGGCGCGGCAGAGGGAAAAGUGUCAAUGGUAUUGUAAUAACACUGGAUGGUGACAGAUGGUAGCUACACUCCUGGUGAGCACAGUGUAAUGUACAGAGUUGUGGAAUCACUGUGUUUUACACUUGAAACUAAUGUAACAUCGUGUAUCAACUAUGAAAAGCUCUACAGUUAUAUAACUCCUAUAACACACACACACACACACACACACACACACACACACACAGACACACAUACACACAUAUAUACGUAUUCUCUUAGUAUUCCUAUUCUCUUACAUAUAUGCUAGGAGAAUACAGAUGAUUCUGUCACAUGUUUUCACAAGUUUUCUUAAAAUCAGUAAUGUAUGACUAGUACCUGUAUACCAAUAAAACAAGAACAUUUCAAAUGAGCACUUGUGAUUACUUUGGUAUUUUAUGCAAUGUGAAAUACUAACUAGAAAAGGCUUAACAUUCCAACUGAAAGCUCAGAUUACCAUUAUCAUUAAAUAAUGGUAAUUACUAAUGACAUAUUUUCCCCAAAUAUUCCAGCAUAAAUAUACUGGGAAUGAUAUUUUACUACUUAGCAUUAUCUUGAAAGGGGCUAUAAAAUUCCCAACAGUUGGGUCAAAAAGUUUUUAUAUGAUACACUAUAUACUCCAUAACUUUGCUGUGUAAUGAGACGCAAAGAUCUUCUUCUAAAAAGCCAGUCACCAUUCAUUUACCCAAAGCUCCAAAGGAGAUGAAGGAUGUUUUCAGUAUAUAUUCCUUACACUUCAAAGGUUUCUUACUAAAAAUAAGCAUUUUUAUUUGGUUGGACAUUUAUACAAUUCAGUAGAUGGGACUGUCACUCUCCUGUACAUAACUGGACAUUAAAAUCACAACUGGGAUGAAUUUUAAAAACUGGUGUUAAUUCUGCAACAUUAAGUUUAUUUUCAAAAAUUAUUCUUAAUUGUUAGAAAGUAAACAAGCCAAUAUAUUCCUAAUAGAUGACAAACCCUGGAUACUAAUACAUAUCCUACCCUGAGAGCACAGUUGUCUGAAGCUAUAGAUUGAUAAUCAGGUUUUACUGUAAUAUAUGAUACAUAUAUAGGUUAAAGAUAACAUUGGUAACUUGUUUGGUUUAGUUCAUUAUUUUUUUUCCAAAAAUACCCUUAUGCAUAUUCUCUUAUUAAAUAUCAUUACAAUAUAUUCCCUGCCUUUAUUUCAGUAAACACAUGCAUUAGAUCGUGUCCAUGCACAUAUCCUAACAAGCUGUUUUAUGUGAUGUCUUUAUCUGAAGAAUCUGAAAUGUUUUGGGUAAUUCAAUUCAAUAAACAUUUAUUAAGCAACAGUAAAUUGACCUAAUUUACUAUCAGGCAGUCACUCUGUAAGGUACUGUGUAGACAUGAUAUAAUACAGUCUCUGUGAAGGGGUAGAAUACAGAAAGCCAAUUCUGUAAUAUAGUUUGUUAAGGGUUAUAUAGUGUAAGGAUACAUAAAAAAAACUAAGGGAGCAGAGACAGAGAACAUAUGAUGUUCAAAUUGAUUAUGAAAAGACGAGCUAGAGCUUGCUGUGUGGGUAGUUUUGUGGAUGCUUAAGACGUAACAUAUGUACGACCCUAUUGUUUCCUCAAGAUCAUUGAGAUAAUUGGGAUUGACCGUACCAAAAAUUGCCACAGAAGAGGAGAAAACAAUUCCUGCAUGAAACUGUAAGAUAUGGCCCAGGCUGCCUCCACGUAAUUUCUCUGUCCUUAGUCUAGCCACACUGACCUUCUUUAAAUUUUUCAAAUGGACCAUUCCCUCACUGCCACUGGCCAUUUGCGCAUGUUGUUCUCCCUGGCUAGAAAUCUUCAGCCUAUUCCUAUUUGAUUAAGUUCAUCCUUCAAAUUCAGCCCAUGCAACUAUCAUUUCUUCAAGAAAGAUUUCCCUGACCUUCCCUAAUGUGUGCGCACGCACACACACACGCGCACACACAGAAAACUCACAUGGAGUCUCGGUGUGUUUGCCUGGUUACAUGCCAUCAGAGAACUGUGUUCUUUUCUAUAAUGGACUCAGUUUGUGAGGCUACAUUUGUUAGUAUCUGCCUUUCUGACUAGGCAGUGACUUCCAUGAGAAGAAGAUGAACUUGAUCUAUUUUGGAUCUACAUUACCUCAAUGUCUAGUUGAAGUGCCACACCAAUGUGUUGAAUGCAUCUAUGACUACAGGAGACAAGGAAGAGGAUGAUAAAAGUGUGUUUGUGAAAUAUUUUAUUUCUGAUGGAACAGACCUAUAUGAAGCAAAUGGAUUUAAACACUGUGUAAUAGUUGCCAUUUCUGAACCCAGCUUUGGCUGUCUGUGAAGCAUGUAAUGAAAUUAAGAAGAGCAUAAAGAAAGGAUUUGGGUGGAUUUCCUUGUCUUCAGGAUCAAUUAUUUUGACCUAGAUCCAUUAGCCAGACUGCCCCAAUAUUAAGGAGCAAUUUUUAGUAAUUUUAAGCCAAAUACAGUAAUUUCUGGGGUUAGGUGAGGAUAUAGGGAAAAGAAAAGGGGGCUGUAAGGAAGCACUCUUGCAGAGAAAAACAUAAAAAUUCAACCCUCUCCAAAACAGACCUAAAAGUAUGACAUCCAUUAUUCGUAUUGGCAGUGAUUUCCUUACAAUUGUUGACUUUUUUUGCACCAACCUCUAACCUACCAUUUCUGAAACAUUCCUAAGAAGACUUGAAAAAGCUGUUAAAAGCAUAUCUGCCCAGAAGCCCUAGAAAAACUAUAGCUGCAAAGUGUCUUUACUGUUUAUAUAAGAGCAAUCAAAGGUAUCAGCAAGCAAGACAGAUGAAACUGUUCUCUGAGGAAAAGAAAGUAAAAUUUAUCCAAACUAAAUAUUUCUGUGAAACAGGUUAUACGGAAUUCUCAUUCUGCAGCCAAAUACACAUCCCCCGUAUGCUUGUGUAUUCCUCCUUAUAAACAUGAAUAUUCAUUAAUACCAUCCCAGUAGAUGGGAACAACCUAAGUAAAUUACUGAGCAUGAGGAACAGCAGAGAAAACUUUAAUGCAAUUCAAGUAUUCACACAGACAUGAACAAUUUGCAUCAAAUAAAUGGGCAAGAUGAUUACAACUACAUUUCAUUUACCUGUCAUAAUCUAUGACUCAGUUGUUUGAUCUGUAUUAGUUACUACGUUCAAGGCAAAGUUGUUAUUUGACCACCCUUUACUGGAACUCUUGUUAAAAUCUCAAGUAUUUCCUUUUGGGUUUUUUUCCCUUUAAACUGAGGUCAGAGAACAGAGAAUCAUUUGAAGCACUGUUUUACAGAACCGUCCUCAAGGGUUAUUCAGGUAGUUCCUCUAUUCCUUAAGGACUCGGCACUUUUAUUUUUUAUUUCUUUAGUGGGAUUUUUGUGGUUGUUGUUCACUUCCCCGCAUUGCUGGAACUGCUGCUGCCAACAGACACUUCGUUUUCUAAGCCAGUGUGAGCUGGGAAACCAACUAAUCAGCCUGUGUGGAUUGUGCUUAAAUUAAGAGUAUAGACGUUCUGGGUAAAGAUAUUCAAGUUUUGGUUCAAACCAAAAUCUAUAUUUGCAUCUAUUGAAAUGUAUACCGACAUUUAAAUGUGGGUGCUUUUUGUUUGUUUUCUCAUCUUUCUUGGCUGUGUUCUGGAACACAGCAACAUUAUAUAGAAAAUAUAUGAACACAUGAAAUAUUACUCAUAUUUGCUUAUAAGAGAGCACCUUCUACAACAAAAGAUUCACAUUGAAAAGCUACAUGAAGGGCUUUCCAAUCAGAAGAGAGCAAGGUGUAAGUGUCUUUCGUGGUCCUACAUCUGGGCUUAGGCCACCCAAACUGCCUUGCCACGCCAUCCAAGUUUGACCUUAACAAAAGCAAAGUCCUAUACUGAGGUUCACUGGUGGGAAAGUUGGUGCCAAACGUUGUCUGGUCCCCAAAACUGGUCCCCUGGUUCGGUCUAAAAAACGUUGGUGAUGACAUUGUCAAGGUACCUGAUGACUAGGAGGGUCAGGAUUAUAUGAAACUGACCAUUCAGAACAGACAAGCCCAGACUGAGCUGGUACCUUCUGUCUUUGCCCUGAUCAUCAAAACUCUCCAGGAACUCUCAGGGAACUACACAGAGAUGGCAAGAAGCACAAGAACAUUAAGACAGUGGAAAUAACACUUUUGAUGAGACUGGCACCUGACAGAUGCAACACCAAUCUUUGACCAGAGAAUUCUCUAGAACCAUGAAAAUGAUUGCCAAGGACUGCCAAGUUUGUGGGCUGAAAUGUUAAUGGUUACUACCCACGUUAUCAUCGAUGACAUCAACAGUAAUAUGGUAGAAUGCCCAGCUACUUAAGAACUACAAAGGGAAAUAUCUUGGUAAAGGAUCAUUUGACAACCCCCGCCCCACAGUUAUAUGCAGGUCACAUCGUCUCUUAGCGAAAUAUAAAGUUAAUUUGGUAGAGAAUUUUCACAGAUUUAUGCUCAAAACUGUCAUGCAUACAAACCCCCUUGUCUACCAAGUAUGAAGUUGUGAAUCUAAAGAAGACUACAUGGGACGCCUGGGUGGCUCAGUCAGUUGAGUGUCUGACUUUGGCUCAGGUCACGAUCUCUCGGUUCGAGAGAUGGAGCCCCGUGUCGGGCUCUGUGCUGACA